rnacentral:lncRNA from 1 species
UAUCUCAUAUGGUAUGGUAGAAAUAGACUUAGAAAGAAUCUUAUUUAAAAUAUGCAUUACGAUAAGUAAGGCAUGUUCCCAAAAAAUAUUGAUAAAUCAGUGAAGCUCAUCAUAGAUUGGACCAUAUCCAAUAUGAUCCUAUUUCUCAUUUUGGAUAUCCUAUUAAGUUGAGGUAUGCUGGGAGGAGUCCAUUGAGAGACAAUGUCAUUCUCCUUAAAAUAUUCCAACAAUUCAACACUUAAGUAUUUUUCUCCUCGAUC